UUUUUAUAUUUUAUUUUAAGAUGUGUUGGCAUUAUAUUUGCAAAAUGACAAAAUCCAAUGUAUCAUAUGCUAAGGAUGAAUAAAACCGUCAAAGAUUACCAAAAGGGCUCAUGUAAAUACAUUUAGUUAAUUCGUAUAGUGAAUGUUAGUGUUAUAUGUCAAUAAAUUUAAUUUAUAAUUUUUUUAUAAAAAAAAAUAUAUUAAAUCAAUGAUAAUUAAUUAUAAUUUAUGAAAUAGUUUCUAAAAGUUUUUAGAUAUAAAAAAAUUAACUCAAAAUAUUUAAAAUUAUAACUAAUAUUUAUACUAUUUUAUAGUAUAGUGGAACGUGUUAUAGUUGAUAUUUUUACAGUUAUAGAUUUUUAAGCAUCAAACAUACAAUAUAUUAAUCAGAUACGAAAAUGCUUGACAUACACUUUAAAAUCUAUCUAUAUAUAUAUAUAUAUAUAUAUAUAUAUAUAUAUAUAUAAGAGUGUUUUACUCUCUUCUUAGAGCGCCACCUAGGAUCCAUGUCAUAAAGUCGUUCAAUCUCGAGCUGACACGUGUCCUUGAAGAGUAAAACUCGGCGUUUCAUUUAAUCUGAUUCAGAAUGGGCCUGGUCGUUCAAUGUGUGUUGGGUUUUUAAUUUAGAAACUGUAUCCGGUCCAGGUUGCUUGAGAUCACAACCCUAAUUCUGAUAGAUCGAGACGAGCUUCAUCUCUCUUCUUCGUGCGGCUACGACUCGGUGACGUCUUAGCUUCUCCUCGCCAUCUGAAACGGUCCGAGUUAUGGCUGUAUCGAAGCGCCUCUUCAAUUCCCUCAUUAACAGUAUCUAUUCACUUCUCUCACAAUCUCUCAUUCAGUGGAUAUCCAUUACAUUGAUUGAGUGAGUCUUCGACUAUUUCGACUAUAAAUAUAUGGAUUUAACUUCUUAUAAUCAGAACCUGAUACCUUCAGAACCUGAUACCUUCAGAACCUGAUACUUAAGGAAAGAGAAGAAAAGAAACUGAAAGAACAAGCUCUGCUCUUCCACCGAACCCAAGGUAAUUAAUUUCUCAUGGAGCAAAUGUAUGGGCAUUCUUUUUAUGUUCGUGUGCAAUGCAAUUGUUGUUUCUGUGAAAGUGCAGGAACUGAAAGUAGCACUUGAAUUGAAACACGUACGUGUUCUCCACAUGAAAUAGCUGAAUAUAUUGUGGUUCCUUUUGUAUUUAAUUCAGCUUGAGUUAUAUGUGUGUUUAAGACUUUUAGUGCAAGUUGUUUUCUCUAUUAUGUUAUUGUUGUAAACCUGUGAUGUGAUCAUCUUUGAUCAAUAAGUUAGUACAACAUGGGUUCAAAAUUUAUUUUGAAUGUGGUGUAAUAUAUUUGAAACUGAAUAUUUAUUUGAAACUUUGAACAA